rnacentral:rRNA from 1 species
GUGCGUAACACGUGAGAAUCUACCCAUAGCUUAUGGUUAAAUGCCAUAGAAUCUUAUAGAUUUAGAUAUAUAUCGGUUAUGGAUGAGCUUGCGGGGUAUUAGGUAGUUGGUGUGGUAAUGGCGCACCAAGCCCAAGAUGCCUAGCCGGUUUGAGAGAACGAUCGGCCACACUGGGACUGAGACACGGCCCAGACGCUUACGAGCGGCAGCAGUGGGGAAUAUUGGACAAUGGGCGAAAGCCUGAUCCAGUGAUAUCGCUUUGGGGAUGACGGCGACAUACGUUGUAAACCCAAUGAAGUACGUUUAGAUUAU